rnacentral:rRNA from 1 species
GAGGAAUAUUGGUCAAUGGGGGCAACCCUGAACCAGCCAAGUCGCGUGAAGGAUGAAGGUCUUAUGGAUUGUAAACUUCUUUUAUACAGGAAUAAAUUGGGGGACGUGUCCCCUUUUGCAUGUACUGUAUGAAUAAGGAUCGGCUAACUCCGUGCCAGCAGCCGCGGUAAUACGGAGGAUCCGAGCGUUAUCCGGAUUUAUUGGGUUUAAAGGGUGCGCAGGCGGGAUGUUAAGUCGGCGGUGAAAUUUUGCAGCUCAACUGUAAAAGUGCCUUCGAUACUGGCCUCCUUGAGUGUGGAUGAAGUAGGCGGAAUUUGUGGUGUAGCGGUGAAAUGCUUAGAUAACGAGGAACUCCGAUUGCGCAGGCAGCUUACUAAGCCACAACUGACGCUCAUGCACGAAGGCGUGGGGAUCAAACA